rnacentral:misc_RNA from 1 species
AGCAGCCGCGGUAAUUCCAGCUCCAAUAGCGUAUAUUAAAGUUGUUGCAGUUAAAAGCUCGUAGUUGAAUUUCGGGGUUAGUAGGUUGGUCAUGCCUCUGGUAUGUACUGGUCUCACUGAUUCCUCCUUCCUGAUGAGCCGUAAUGCCAUUAAUUUGGUGUUGCGGGGAAUUUGGACUGUUACUUUGAAAAAUUAGAGUGUUUAAAGCAAGCUAACGCUUGAAUACAUUAGCAUGGAAUAAUGAAAUAGGACGUUCGAUCCUAUUUUGUUGGUUUCUAGGAUUGACGUAAUGAUUAAUAGGGAUAGUUGGGGGCAUUAGUAUUCAAUUGUCAGAGGUGAAAUUCUUGGAUUUAUUAAAGACUAACUACUGCGAAAGCAUUUGCCAAGGAUGUUUUCAUUAAUCAAGAACGAAAGUUAGGGGAUCGAAGACGAUCAGAUACCGUCGUAGUCUUAACCAUAAACUAUGCCGACUAGGGAUCGGAUGAUGUAAUUUUUAAUGACUCAUUCGGCGCCUUAAC